rnacentral:rRNA from 1 species
UACGUAGGAGGCUAGCGUUGUCCGGAAUCAUUGGGCGUAAAGAGCGUGUAGGCGGCCCGGUAAGUCCGCUGUAAAAGUCAAAGGCUCAACCUUUGAAUGUCAGUGGAUACUGCCGGGCUAGAGUCCGGAAGGGCGAGUGGAAUUCCGUGGUGUAGACGGUGAAAUGCGCAGGAUAUCAGGAGGAACACCAAUGGCGGAAGGCAGCUCGCUGGGACGGUACUGACGC